UACGAGAGGCCCGAGCGUUAAUCGGAAUCACUGGGCUUAAAGCGUACGCAGGCGGAUCGGAAGGUGUCUUGUGAAAUCCCCCGGCUUAACCGGGGAACUGCAGGGCAAACCAUCGAUCUUGAGGCAGGUAGGGGUCAGUGGAACGAUGUGUGGAGCGGUGAAAUGCGUAGAUAUACAUCGGAACGCCAAUGGCGAAGGCAGCUGACUGGGCCUGUUCUGACGCUCAUGUACGAAAGCGUGGGGAGCAAACAGG
rnacentral:misc_RNA from 1 species